rnacentral:lncRNA from 1 species
GGGCCGGGCCUGCCUGGGGUGGCAACUGGGGGAGGGCCCAGGUCCCAUCUGGGAGCCAGAGAGUUGGUCUGGGAAGAUACGGGUGUAGCGGGGGUCAGGGGACAGAUUUCCUAUGACGUGAAUUGGAGGUGGUAACCGGUGGCAGCCUCCAGGUGUCUGGUCAGGCUGGGGAGGCUUUGGUUGCAUGGCUAUGGCUCUGAACUACAGGUUCAGGUCUGGGGAGCUGGACACCACCUUGGGAUUGGCAAGAGGGUGCCUUCAGAGCCUAAGCGUGGCUUGGACAGUUUCUGCUCUGUUCACACCUGCGAUCUACCCACCACCUGGCCACUGACCAGUAGACACACCAGCAAGUAAUUAGGGGAAGGACAGGUGGAGGGGUGCAGCAGGAGAGAUCCCCAGACAGUUGCUCCCAGAACAAGAGGACAGCAGUGGCCUUCUCACCAGGGUCCACAGCUUCUGGGCCACUGCUGGUGCCAACCCCGGGCCAGUAGCAGCGCAGGCCACACAGUCACAUUGGUAGGUUUUAGAGGGUCUUCCCGCCCUCCCAGGUGGCCUGAGCAGAGGUGCUCCUUACCAUUCUUUUUGGAGCUGAUUCCGUCUAGUGUGGGGGCAUUCCAGAUGGUCAGGACACCCCUCAAGUGUGUGUGGGUUCUGUGGAGUCCCCUGUGCUUCUGAGAUAAUUAGUGGCAGCAGGAGAGACCCUGCAGGGUGCUGGAGUCCCUCCAAGGCUGACCCAGGCCUGGCUUCACCGAGCUCCUGUUGGGAGGGAUGUGGUCCCUCCAAAUCAUGCAGACAAGUAGCCUGACCUAUGGCUGGGAG